rnacentral:lncRNA from 7 species
AUGGAGGCGACGCGACGCACGCCGCGUGUCCGCUCUUUCCCGGCUGCCCCCGAGCCGAACGCGGCCCGAGCCCGAGGCUUCCCCACGGCGCUGGAAUCGCGCUGCUCGCGAUUUUUUCACUAAAACCAUGGGAGAAGUUGGGAUUUUCUUUGGUUCGACCCCAAUAGGCAUUCACUGCUGUUUGUCAGACCUUCACGCUGGGCAGGUGUAACCAUCACAGAACAAGCACACAGUGUGGCAGCACAUGGGAGCACUCUGGAGCAGCGCUCCUGAGCUGGGCAGGUCCUGCCUCCUUCUCCAUCCUCACCACGACCACCUCCAAUGCACAGAGGAGCCCUGGGAUGGGGUGACACAGCCUGUCCUUGCCCUUCUGUUGGUGGUCAGAGGGUCGUGCAAAUUUAGGAUCGAACAAAGCUGUCCAUUAGGAGUCCUCCUGCCUCCACAAGCCGUGCUCUGUGUAGGAUAGAUGCAGUUCUCCUCCAGGCUCAGAUGGAUGCAGCCCAGGAAUCGCCCAAGAGACAAUAAAACAAACGUGAGACAAAGCAUUCAUUUACACCGCUUUAUUUCUGUAGUGUUCAGAGAAACUGGGAUGGACCAUUGUUAAAGAUCACUAUUUCCUGCGCUGCAAUAAAUGUCUCAUCUUCCC